GCCACCGUAGCUCAGUCGGUAGAGCAACUGAUUCGUAAUCAGUGGGUCAGCGGUUCAAUCCCGCUCGGUGGCU
rnacentral:tRNA from 1 species